GCAGAACUGCAGGCGCUUGCCCGGCGAACCCUGCGCGGGGCCGCCUAGCUCGCUCCCAGCUCAGCUGGCGGCCUCAGGGUCCCGACCGCAGCGCCCGCGGCCCUAGGCGAAGGCAGGGGCUCACCCGAGGCUCGGCGGCUGAUGAGGCUCUCGGAACAUGGCAGCCUGUGCAUGGCUCGUCCUGGGAGGAGCUGACUUUAGUCAUCGUGAUGCCUAAGAAUCAAGUGACUUCAGGCUUUGGAAAAGGUAGGGGUGCUUGCGUUCUUCAUUCAAGCCCAAGUGAAUGUGGCCCAAUAUGAAGAAACACUGGCUGGUGAAGGCCCUCUGUCUUUGCCUGCAACCUCCGAGGCUGCACAGCCCUCCCGCACCAUCAGAGAAGGGAGGGUGGCAGGGCUUAAGACUGAGAUGUGUUUGGGGACAUGAAAGACCUAUCUGUGCCUCGGUGGUCUUUGGGUGGAUGGAGUGUCUGCCCCUCUUCCCCUAAGUAAGACCAGCAGCUCCGCUGUCCUGACUGCAGUCCCAGCUCUGAUGCUGUCUCCGUCUCCUGCGAGCCCAGGUCUGUGCUAAGAUAAGAAUCUGGCCAGGCAGCUUCUACAGGGAGUGACUUCAGAGCAUGGUAGACCAUUUGUCCGAGAGUUGCAAAUGUGAUCACAGCAUCUUCCUCUGCCUGGGUUCUAUUCUAAGGGGACCAAACCUGUUCACAUCUUUCUGCAGAUUCAGUAGGUCUGUGGAGGCUUAGGGUCUGGAAGGCUCGGUGUAGCUUAAGAUCAGUAAGGACUUGUUUGGCAUCGUCACCCUCAUGAAUUCUGUAAGAGCCUUCCCACUGCUCCUGGCUCUGCUCUGUGCCCUGCUCUGUCCUCUUUCAUCCUGCCGGAGCCCUUCCUCAAAGACACAUUUGCCCAUCACCCUUCCGUUGGCAUCAAGGCCUCCUCCAGCCACUGUCCAGACUCAUUGUCUGCCUCUCCUCUCUGCCUGGCUCCAGUCCCACAAGUCUUAGAGCAGGUCUCUGCAUGCGGGCCAUGCUGUCCCCUCUGAGAAGCGUCUCUUGUGCUCCCAGCAAAGAUAGAGCCUCCUCCUCCCCCUCUCAGCAACUGUAGUGCUUUGUUCAGACCUCAGGUAUGUCGCUGGCUGAGCUGACCUUUCUUCACUCAUCCGUCUCCCCCACCAGCUGUGGGAGCUUUGAAGGCAAGGACCUGUCCUCCAGCCUUUCCAUCUGAGCAGGGCAGCGCCAUCCCCUCAGCACAAGGCUGGGCACAGGGCAGAGAGUGACAGUGUUUGUUGACUCAUGGAGUUCAGGCCCUGAGGUUUCUUCGGGGCUUUGUGGCUCAUGAAGCCCUAUCUUCUGUCUCCUGGGGGCCUCAUACCUUGGGAGGGGCAGUCAGAUAAUGCUCAUUUACCUUAUUUUAUUUUUUAAUUAAAAAAAGUUUUUUUAUUCGUACUAAAGUGUAGUUGAUUUACAACGUUUUGUCAAGUUCUGUUUUACAGCAAAGUGACUCAAUCACACACAUUUCCCUGUACUGUACAGUAGGAUCCCAUUGCCCAUCUGUUACAAAUAUAACAGUGGUGUUUUGGAUGCUCAUUUAUUUUAUAGACAUAGAGGCUGAGGUCUGAGCAGUCAGGCUGUAGGCUGUUAAAGUCCAGGCCCAGGAGGCUGAUGGUAAGUUUGGGGUUGGUAGAUGCAGACUGUUACAUUUAGAACAGAUGGGUGGUGGGGUCUUGCUGUACAGCACAGGGAACUCUAUCUAGUCUCUUGGGUAACAACCCGAUGGAAAAUAAAAUAAAAAAAAAAUGGGUGCAUAUGGAUGGCUGGGUCACUUUGCUCUAUAACAGAAAUUGAAGGAACAUUGUAAAUCAGCUAUACUUUAAUAAAAAGAAAGAAAGAAAGGGAGAAAAAAGAAAGAAAAAAAG
rnacentral:lncRNA from 1 species